UGAUCCUGGCUCAGGACGAACGCUGGCGGCGUGCUUAACACAUGCAAGUCGAACGGAAAGGCCCUGCUUUUGUGGGGUGCUCGAGUGGCGAACGGGUGAGUAACACGUGAGUAACCUGCCCUUGACUUUGGGAUAACUUCAGGAAACUGGGGCUAAUACCGGAUAGGAGCUCCUGCUGCAUGGUGGGGGUUGGAAAGUUUCGGCGGUUGGGGAUGGACUCGCGGCUUAUCAGCUUGUUGGUGGGGUAGUGGCUUACCAAGGCUUUGACGGGUAGCCGGCCUGAGAGGGUGACCGGCCACAUUGGGACUGAGAUACGGCCCAGACUCCUACGGGAGGCAGCAGUGGGGAAUAUUGCACAAUGGGCGGAAGCCUGAUGCAGCAACGCCGCGUGCGGGAUGACGGCCUUCGGGUUGUAAACCGCUUUCGCCUGUGACGAAGCGUGAGUGACGGUAAUGGGUAAAGAAGCACCGGCUAAUUACGUGCCAGCAGCCGCGGUGAUACGUAGGGUGCGAGCGUUGUCCGGAUUUAUUGGGCGUAAAGGGCUCGUAGGUGGUUGAUCGCGUCGGAAGUGUAAUCUUGGGGCUUAACCCUGAGCGUGCUUUCGAUACGGGUUGACUUGAGGAAGGUAGGGGAGAAUGGAAUUCCUGGUGGAGCGGUGGAAUGCGCAGAUAUCAGGAGGAACACCAGUGGCGAAGGCGGUUCUCUGGGCCUUUCCUGACGCUGAGGAGCGAAAGCGUGGGGAGCGAACAGGCUUAGAUACCCUGGUAGUCCACGCUGUAAACGGUGGGUACUAGGUGUGGGGUCCAUUCCACGGGUUCCGUGCCGUAGCUAACGCUUUAAGUACCCCGCCUGGGGAGUACGGCCGCAAGGCUAAAACUCAAAGGAAUUGACGGGGCCCCGCACAAGCGGCGGAGCAUGCGGAUUAAUUCGAUGCAACGCGUAGAACCUUACCUGGGUUUGACAUGGAUCGGGAGCGCUCAGAGAUGGGUGUGCCUCUUUUGGGGUCGGUUCACAGGUGGUGCAUGGCUGUCGUCAGCUCGUGUCGUGAGAUGUUGGGUUAAGUCCCGCAACGAGCGCAACCCUUGUUCACUGUUGCCAGCACGUUAUGGUGGGGACUCAGUGGAGACCGCCGGGGUCAACUCGGAGGAAGGUGGGGAUGACGUCAAGUCAUCAUGCCCCUUAUGUCCAGGGCUUCACGCAUGCUACAAUGGCUGGUACAGAGAGUGGCGAGCCUGUGAGGGUGAGCGAAUCUCGGAAAGCCGGUCUCAGUUCGGAUUGGGGUCUGCAACUCGACCUCAUGAAGUCGGAGUCGCUAGUAAUCGCAGAUCAGCAACGCUGCGGUGAAUACGUUCCCGGGGCUUGUACACACCGCCCGUCAAGUCAUGAAAGUUGGUAACACCCGAAGCCGGUGGCCUAACCGUUGUGGGGGAGCCGUCGAAGGUGGGACUGGUGAUUAGGACUAAGUCGUAACAA
rnacentral:rRNA from 1 species